GUUAAGCGACCAAGCGUACACGGUGGAUGCCCUGGCAGUCAGAGGCGAUGAAGGACGUGCUAAUCUGCGAAAAGCGCCGGUAAGGUGAUAUGAACCGUUAUAACCGGCGAUGUCCGAAUGGGGAAACCCAGUGUGACUCGUCACACUAUCAUUAACUGAAUCCAUAGGUUAAUGAGGCGAACCGGGGGAACUGAAACAUCUAAGUACCCCGAGGAAAAGAAAUCAACCGAGAUUCCCCCAGUAGCGGCGAGCGAACGGGGAGGAGCCCAGAGCCUGAAUCAGCAUGUGUGUUAGUGGAAGCGUCUGGA
rnacentral:rRNA from 1 species